rnacentral:rRNA from 1 species
AUGAAUUUGAACUUGAUGCCCGAAGAGGAGGAUGGAGCUCAACAAGAUGAAGAAGCUCAACAAGGUGACAAAACUCAACAAGGUGACACUAUGGCUUUGAACUUGAUGCCUGAAGAGGAGGGUGAAGCUCAACAAGAUGAACAAGCUCAACAAGGUGACGAAGCUCAAAAAGGUGACACUAUGGAUUUGAACUUGAUGCCUGAAGAGGAGGAUGAAGCUCAACAAGGUGACACUAUUCAUUUGAACAGGAUGCUUGAAGAGGAGGAUGAAGCUCAACAAGAUGAAGAAGCUCAACGAGGUGACAUUAUUGAUUUGAACUUGAUGCCUGAAGAGGAGGAUGAAUCUCAACAAGAUGAAGAUCUUGAAUUGAAUUGGCUUCAUGAAGAGGAAGAAGCUCAAGAUGAAGAAGCUCCAGAAGCUCAAGAGAAAGAAGUUCAAGAAGCUGAUGCACAAGGUAAUCCAAAAAGGUCUAAGUUGUCAGACAAGGAGAUACUUGGUGUUUACUUUGCUUUGCGAGUAAUUUAG